CUUUCAGUUGGGAAGAGAAGCAUGAAUUGAAUAGAUUCAUGUGGAGACGUUACUAACAGAAGAAGCACCGGCUAACUCUGUGC
rnacentral:rRNA from 1 species